UUUGAAAAUAUUUAUAACUAAAAUUUUCCUCCAAUAAUUUAUUUUACUCGUUAAUUAAAAAGCACAUGCCUAAUGUACAUAUCUAUAUAUGCAUGUAUAUAUGUAUAUGUUUCGUGCAUGCAUAAUACAUAUUUACAUAUUUACAGCUAACAUUUAACCACAUGAAACAAGCAAAUGUGCGCUCAAAGUCGUGUUUAUGCAACCGAUCGGCAUUUAAUGCCAUAUAAGUGAAAUCGCCAGCAAUGCAGCAUGCAUUAUGCGUCAACUGUCCGUCUGUCGACUGCCGCUAUAGCGAGCGCCUAUCUGGCGAACAAAUAAUCACUUUGCACAAUCGCACGCGACAAAGCGCGACAUAGAAGAUAGAUAAGGUAUUGUGAUUGUUUGCCUUGGGAGAAUGUUUAACCUUCAAACCAAUAAAUACACUAGAUCUGUGUAAUAGAAUGUGAACUUGGCUUACCAUUUUCAGCGGUGUAACCCCAGUGGUGUGAGCUCAUUUUUCCGACGUUUCGAGGGUGGAACUUUUUUUUUAUUUAACUAAACUGCCGUAAAUAUUAGUACUCUGUAAGGAAACAGACACUUUCUCAGCAAAAACAAUCAAACAAAUCACUUCUACAAUAUCAACAACCGCAAUCAACCGCAAUAAAUAACAAUAAUAGUACAAAUAGUUACGCCGGGCAAACGAAAAAUAAAAACGUUUUAGAGAAAAAAACAAAACUGGGAGCAGUUGUUGUUUGAUAUUUUGUUUCUUUUCACGACGACGGAUGAGAUGUUGUUUAUUUGAGAGCAGCAACAAGUGAAUUGAAUUGAAUUGCUUGAUUUCAGUUAGCUUUAAUACCGCUUAAUAGACUCUUACGAGUAUUUAGGUGGCGUCGUGUGAUCAAUGGAAAGUACAAGUAGAAGUAGAGAGCCGCGUUUACGUUUCGUUGAGCGACGGAACACAAUGUGCUAAAACGUCUCACACGUUUGUCUGCCUAAAGAAGACUGUGCUGAUUGUUGAGGGUUGUGUGCCGUUGUCUGCUUGCCGAUAUGAAUUAAAAAACUAAGUCAGUCACAUACAUCCAGUCAGUCAGCCAAUCGGCUAGCCUGCUAGUCAGAUAGUCUGGCGUUCGUUUGGGCGCGCUGGAAUAUUGAACAUAUGUAUGCGGAAAUGCGGGCGAAUAACCGAAUGACUGCUCUUACCCUCGGCGAGCAUGAAACAAACGUGCUGCGCAACGCGCAGUAGCAGCGACAGUGUUUCGGAAACGCAUCGCAUACGCUUUCGUGUCGUGGGAAGAAGCGUUGGACACGAGACAGCGUAAGUCUCAACGAGAGCAAAAGCUAGCAGUUAAAAGUGUGCUUCUGCAUUGAAGAACUUCGGUUACGAACGAAAUCGACUUGUUUGUUGACAGCAGCGCGUCGGAACGCAAUCGUAAUUAUACCAUUUACGCAUUACAUAAAGCUUAAUACAUCUCAUAACCGCUGUUGUUGUACGUCAUACCAUGAAUGAAGUAAACAGAGCGCGCAGUAUGUUGUAUUAACAUUAAAGGACAAACUUCUAAGUUCAAUCCUUGGCGAAUAUAUCCACUUGUGAAUUUCAAAAUAUCAAAUUUUUUUUUUGUUAAUAUGCAAGUUGAAUGUACAGAUAUUUGGAAAAUUCUAAGAAAAGCAAAUAAAUUUUAAGUUUAUCCGGCGAA